rnacentral:rRNA from 1 species
AUUGAACGCUGGCGGCAUGCCUUACACAUGCAAGUCGAACGGCAGCACGGGAGCAAUCCUGGUGGCGAGUGGCGAACGGGUGAGUAAUACAUCGGAACGUGCCCAGUCGUGGGGGAUAACUACUCGAAAGAGUAGCUAAUACCGCAUACGACCUGAGGGUGAAAGCGGGGGAUCGCAAGACCUCGCGCGAUUGGAGCGGCCGAUGUCAGAUUAGCUAGUUGGUGGGGUAAAGGCCUACCAAGGCUACGAUCUGUAGUUGGUCUGAGAGGACGACCAGCCACACUGGGACUGAGACACGGCCCAGACUCCUACGGGAGGCAGCAGUGGGGAAUUUUGGACAAUGGGCGCAAGCCUGAUCCAGCAAUGCCGCGUGCAGGAAGAAGGCCUUCGGGUUGUAAACUGCCUUUGUCAGGGAAGAAAUCCUCUGGGUUAAUACCUCGGGGGGAUGACGGUACCUGAAGAAUAAGCACCGGCUAACUACGUGCCAGCCGCCGCCGUAAUAC